rnacentral:rRNA from 1 species
GACGAACGCUGGCGGCGUGCUUAACACAUGCAAGUCGAACGGUAAGGCCCUUCGGGGUACACGAGUGGCGAACGGGUGAGUAACACGUGGGUGAUCUGCCCUGCACUUCGGGAUAAGCCUGGGAAACUGGGUCUAAUACCGGAUAGGACCCUGGGAUGCAUGUCCUGGGGUGGAAAGCUUUUGCGGUGUGGGAUGGGCCCGCGGCCUAUCAGCUUGUUGGUGGGGUGAUGGCCUACCAAGGCGACGACGGGUAGCCGGCCUGAGAGGGUGACCGACCACACUGGGACUGAGAUACUGCCCAGACUCCUACGGGAGGCAGCAGUGGGGAAUAUUGCACAAUGGGCGCAAGCCUGAUGCAGCGACGCCGCGUGAGGGAUGACGGCCUUCGGGUUGUAAACCUCUUUCAGCACCGACGAAGCGCAAGUGACGGUAGGUGCAGAAGAAGGACCGGCCAACUACGUGCCAGCCGCCGCUGUAA